CAGCAGCCGCGGGAAUACAGAGGGUGCGAGCGUUAAUCGGAUUUACUGGGCGUAAAGCGUGCGUAGGCGGCUUUUUAAGUCGGAUGUGAAAUCCCUGAGCUUAACUUAGGAAUUGCAUUCGAUACUGGGAAGCUAGAGUAUGGGAGAGGAUGGUAGAAUUCCAGGUGUAGCGGUGAAAUGCGUAGAGAUCUGGAGGAAUACCGAUGGCGAAGACAGCCAUCUGGCCUAAUACUGACGCUGAGGUACGAAAGCAUGGGGAGCAAACAGGAUUAGAUACCCCUGUAGUCCCUGUCUCUUAUAC
rnacentral:rRNA from 1 species